UCUCUUCUCUCAGAUUAAACUCACCCAAACGAUUUAACUGCUCAAAUAUAUAAUCAAAAUGUCUCAUCUCUCACCACUAACGGCAACUUCCAGGCUCUUACUAUCGCUCUCCAUCUCACACGCUGCCGCUCUAUCACCUCCUCCAUGCCACACCACAACCACAGCCAGAGCCGUCACAGUCGUCCUACUUCCGGCACUUGCCGGCGUUUUUCUGUGGAAGUUUUCGGAUUUUUGAGGAUGAAUCAAUUGUAUCAUCGGAAGAACGCCUUCGGCGCGCGUGAGGAGACGGGCUGUCUGUCGUUUGUCCGAAGCCACGACGAGUUGGGAUUUUGGCGAACAAUUGUACUAGGCCCUUGAGAUGGCAAUUGAGUCAUCCAGUUGGGGUGUCUGAUUCAAAAGCCGGGGCAGGGCUUCUAGACAUCAUUCUCAUGAAGGUAAUUGGUGAGGCCGAUUUUCAGCGCAAUAGGGAUUUGGAGAAAGUAAUUUUCUUUUUUAUGUGUAUAUUUUUCUUUGUAAUAAACUUCGUUUCAAUUUAUUUGUGCUGGAUUUUGAAAUUUUGUUUGUAUGUUGGAAGUUUUUGGUUGAUUCUGGUCUGUAUGAGAGUGAAGAAGAUGCAAAGAAAAAAGAAGUAAUUUGGCCCUUGAUCGGGUAACUUACCAGUUUAUUUGAGUUGUUUUGUUGUUGGCCCACUUAUGCUCAAAAGACAAAACUCAACUUGGAGAUUUUAUCCGACUGGAUAGGUUUAAUUUAAU